UAAGACGAACCGUGCGAACGUUAUUCGGAAUCAUUGGGCUUAAAGGGCGCGUAGGCGGCGAUAUAAGUUGGAAGUGAAAUCCCAUCGGCUCAACCGUGGAAUAGCUCCCAGUACUGUAUCGCUCGAGGGGGAUAGGGGUCUGCGGAACUACCGGUGGAGCGGUGAAAUGUGUUGAUAUCGGUGGGAACGCCAGUGGCGAAAGCGGCAGACUUGACCCUUCCUGACGCUGAGGCGCGAAAGCUAGGGGAGCAAACGGGAUUAGAUACCCCGGUAGUCCUAGCCUUAAACGUUGGGUACUGAGUAGUAAGGGGACCGAUACCUCCUACUGCUGAAGCGAAAGUGUUAAGUACCCCGCCUGGGGAGUAUGGUCGCAAGGCUG
rnacentral:rRNA from 1 species